rnacentral:tRNA from 1 species
UAUUAAGUGGCUGAAAUUUUAAGCAUUAGACUUUUAAUCUAAUUAAUGAUUAUAUUUAUUAAUCCUUAAUAG